rnacentral:rRNA from 1 species
UCCGUAGGUGAACCUGCGGAAGGAUCAUUACAGAAAGUAAACGCGGAUCAAACCGCGAACUUUUAAACCUUUGACGAUUGACCCAUGUUGCCUCGGCGGGUUCUCCCGCCAGAGGAUACAUCAAAACUCCUGUUUUAACGGUGUUGUCUGAGCUACAAGCAACGAAUCAAAACUUUCAACAACGGAUCUCUUGGUUCUGGCAUCGAUGAAGAACGCAGCGAAAUGCGAUAAGUAGUGUGAAUUGCAGAAUUCAGUGAAUCAUCGAAUCUUUGAACGCACAUUGCGCCCCUUGGUAUCCCGAGGGGCAUGCCUGUUCGAGCGUCAUUUCACCACUCAAGCCUGGCUUGGUGUUGGGCGACGUCCCCUUCGGGGACGCGCCUCGAAACGCUCGGCGGCGUGGCACCGGCUUUAAGCGUAGCAGAAUCUUUCGCUUUGAAAGUCGAGGCCCCGUCUGCCGGAAGACCUACUCGCAAGGUUGACCUCGGAUCAGGCAGGGAUACCCGCUGAACUUAAGCAUAUCAAUAAGCGGAGGA